UCCCUUGUGGCUCAGCUGGUAAAGAAUCUGCUUGCAAAGCAGGAGACCUGGGUUCGAUCCCUGGGUAGGGAA
rfam:Ovis aries breed Texel chromosome 15, whole genome shotgun sequence.